GCGGGACCAGAGGGAAGAGCGCAGGGGGCAGGAGGCACCGCACAGAGAGAGGGCAGCCCCGCGGCCCGGGCCCUUUGCCCGUCUUUGGGGAGCAGCUGAGCAGGCCCGGUCUUAGAGCUGCAGAAGCCAGAGGCAGAUCCUCCUUUGCACGCGUCUCGGCGCCUCGGACGCCGUCCUGCUCCUGCUCCUGCUCCGGGCAGAGGAACAAAGGGGAGCAGCUGAGGUUCUCUCUGGGCUGGUCCCCAGGAGCUGCCGGCGGAAUGGGUCCGCGGGGGCCCGAGGACUGACAGGAGCCUGUGUGCGGGUCCUGGGGUCUCCUGUGGAGCCUGCUGAGGGGGGCGCUCAGCCAAGGACCUGACCACGAUCUCAGGGGAUGCUGUGCACAGGCCUUGAAAAUGGGAGGGGCCUCUCCUCCAGAGUUAUUGGGAACGGCGGAAGGUUCUGGAAGACGCGUCUAUUAAGGAGGUCACUUCUGCCUGGCAACAAACCGGACCACGAGGCUGGAUCAGGUUCGGUGUGAAUGUCCACACUGGGCGGCCACGAGGCUGGAUCAGGCCGGGGGUGGGCGUCCACAUGGGGCAGCUGGGCUGGC